rnacentral:rRNA from 1 species
UACGUAGGGGGCAAGCGUUAUCCGGAUUUACUGGGUGUAAAGGGAGCGUAGACGGCGCUGCAAGUCCGGAGUGAAAGCCCAUGGCUUAACCAUGGUGCUGCUCUGGAAACUGUGGAGCUUGAGUGCGGGAGGGGCAGGCGGAAUUCCUAGUGUAGCGGUGAAAUGCGUAGAUAUUAGGAGGAACACCAGUGGCGAAGGCGGAUUGCUGGACAGUAACUGACGCUGAGGCGCGAAAGCGUGGGGAGCAAACAGG